AAUGAUGUAUACCUAAAAUUUAUAUAAUGUUAUAAACCAAUGUUACCUCAAUAAAAAAUAAAGUUUAAAAAGAUAUUAGCUACCAAAACUUUACAGCUAACAUCAUACUUAAUGAUGUAACUUUAAAGGAUGUUUCCUAGUUGCUUGGCAAUGAGGGACAAGUGUAUGUUGUCCCUGUUUCUGCUAAACACUCUGCUGGAGGUCUUAACCAGCAUAGUAUGGCAAUAAUAAAAAGUAGAAGGUUGAAAAAUUGGAAAUGAAGAAACUAAAUUGUCAUUAUCUGCAGAUGAUGUGAUUGCCAUGUGGAAAGACAGGAGAAUCCACAGACAACCGUGUAGAAUAGUAAGAGAGUCCAGUAGGAUUUCCAGAAACUUGGUCAAUAUGCAACUUCAGUUGAGUGUCAGGCACCAGCAAUAAUCAGAAUAUUUUUGAAAAGUGCUCUGUUCACAAUAAAAAUUAUAAGAGAAUUUGAAAGAUUUAAAACACUUUAUUGCAAUAUCUUUGAGAUGGCCAAAAUAAAGGAAAAGGUAGAUUGGUUAUUAAGUGUGAAGGCUCAGAAUCACAAAAAUAACCAUUCACCUCCAAUAAAUAAGUCUUUUAAGUACCAAGAGGCAGACAGAAAUUACUGAACAUGCAAGAACUGAGGGACUAUAAUUCUCCGAACUUCUUGAAGGAAUUACUGAAACAGGAAUUUUACCCGUGAGAGAUAAACUGAUGAACAAUGGCCAAAGAACUGAGAGUAGGCAAUGAAUCCAUUUAACCAUAGAUAUAAGCCUUUAGUAGAUUGUGGUAAUUUUAGUUACAGAGCCUAAUGUAAGUGCUAAAAACAGUGACACUCCAGAAAUGAUAAAACUGAAAAAAUUGGGAGAGAAAUGGGGAAAAAAGGUUAUAUUGAUCUCAUCAUUUUAGUCUAGGGAGGGAGGUAAAUAUCUAAAUUGACUUAUCAAAAAAUAGAAGAAUAAGGAUACAUAAAGUAUAAAAAGAAACAUCAAGAUAACUCUAUGGUUAACCCUGGGCAGUGGAAGGAAAGAAAGAGGAAGUGGAACUAUACGAAUGCAUCAUUAUUCAUAGUAGGGACUCAAGAAUUAGGGUAGAAGCACCUUCAGAAAUGGCAAAUGGAGUCACUUUUGUUGACCAUGCUGCCCCAGGACUGUUGCAGAAGACAAAUUUAAGAAUGGCCUGAGGUGAGUGGGACUGGUGGGAAUGCCCAAGGAGUCCUGCAAGAAUCUGAGUGUAGUGUUGUGUCUGAGCUUUCCCGAUAUUUAGAUGACCCAGCACCCCAAGCAGAGGUCGUGUCCUCAACAACAAAACACCGGGGCUCAGAGUCUAGCACGAACAUGACAGCUCUCAUCACUGUGACCCUGAGUGGGAACAGGACUUGGAGAUGAGUAUCCACUUUGCAGACCCUGGUGGGACUAUCCCAGCACAGCACUGAGAAUGCCCUGUGCAUUCCACACUCCCUUAGAAACGCAGAGUUCACUGCUCUGGGCUCAGGAAAGUUUUGCUCUCAGCUGCACUUGCUGUUAAUUAGUUCAUGUCCUAAUAAUCCCCAGAUACUACUGAUGCUGACUUGUCUUGGGACUAAGAUUUACAGCUUCUCUGCAGAUGCAUCACGGUCCCUUUGUAGAAAGUGUCAGUGCCUUGCAGGUGACAAGGUAAUUGCAGCUCGGGGGGGAGAUGAACUCGGAGAAUCUCAAGACACAACUGCUUUGGCUCUACAUGCCACAUAUUUACUGAUGGCCACAGUUCUGCUGCCAAAUCCAGGAACAGAGAUCAACCCUGCACAGGUUAUAGUGCACGUUUCUUUGUGAGCCUGGAGCAGAGCUGCGAUUUGAUGGAUCAGAGCCAGGUGUCACCUUUCCAGAAGGAAACACUGAUUCACCCAGCCCCGGUUCGAUCUGUGACCAGUUGUGUUAUUCUCUUUCUGGUUCUAGAGUCUCUGACUCUGGCAGUACCCUCAUUGUUGGAGAAAAGGAAGGCGGUCAUGUUGACUAAGGUCAGCGUGAGAGGGUUUUUCUGUGGGAACUCAGUAAUACUGUCUUUAGGUCUCACAGCUCUUUAUGGAGCCAGCACUGUUACUCUACAGAAAAGUCUCUUCAUGAGGGCAAGCAAGUGGGUCUUGCUACAAUUUUUACUGAAAGAGAAACAUUAGAAGGAAGGCAUAAAUAGAUCACAAAAUGCAUAGAUAUUGGUGGUAAUCAAACUGAUUGGCAGGUAGAUCUAACUACUCCUAGACUCCAACUGGAUCUUUGACCUCCAUUCGUCAGGCCCAGCAGCUUUAUGCACUUUGUGGGGCACACUUUCCUCUUAGUCAGUAUGUGAGUCUCUCGUGAUAUGCAAACAGUACUCUUUUAUACGUUGUUGUAAGAUCUUAUUCUUAUAUAUGACUUUCUUUGUUCCCUGGUAUACCAUAUUCACAUUAAAAUGGAAAAAGCAGGAUCUUGGAGGUAUUUGUUACUUAUUGAUUGUUUUUUAAAAACAUUCUUGUUUGUUGGUAAAGAUGGCAUUAAAUUCACCUGCAGGGUUAUUUUAA